UACGUAGGGUGCAAGCGUUGUCCGGAAUUAUUGGGCGUAAAGAGCUUGUAGGCGGUUUGUCGCGUCUGCUGUGAAAUUUCGGGGCUCAACCCCGAACUUGCAGUGGGUACGGGCAGACUAGAGUGUGGUAGGGGAGACUGGAAUUCCUGGUGUAGCGGUGAAAUGCGCAGAUAUCAGGAGGAACACCGAUGGCGAAGGCAGGUCUCUGGGCCAUAACUGACGCUGAGGCGCGAAAGCUAGGGGAGCAAACGGG
rnacentral:rRNA from 1 species